rnacentral:rRNA from 1 species
GAUCAUGGCUCAGAACGAACGCUGGCGGCAUGCCUAACACAUGCAAGUCGAACGAAGCCUUCGGGCUUAGUGGCGCACGGGUGCGUAACGCGUGGGAAUCUGCCCUUGGGUUCGGAAUAACAGUUAGAAAUGACUGCUAAUACCGAAUGAUGUCUUCGGACCAAAGAUUUAUCGCCCAAGGAUGAGCCCGCGUCGGAUUAGCUAGUUGGUGAGGUAAAGGCUCACCAAGGCGACGAUCCGUAGCUGGUCUGAGAGGAUGAUCAGCCACACUGGGACUGAGACACGGCCCAGACUCCUACGGGAGGCAGCAGUGGGGAAUAUUGGACAAUGGGGGCAACCCUGAUCCAGCCAUGCCGCGUGAGUGAAGAAGGCCUUCGGGUUGUAAAGCUCUUUCGACGGGGACGAUGAUGACGGUACCCGUAUAAGAAGCCCCGGCAAACUUCGUG